UACAGAGGGGGCAAGCGUUGUUCGGAAUUACUGGGCGUAAAGGGCUCGUAGGCGGCCAACUAAGUCAGACGUGAAAUCCCUCAGCUUAACUGGGGAACUGCGUCUGAUACUGGAUGGCUUGGAUCCGGGAGAGGGAUGCGGAAUUCCAGGUGUAGCGGUGAAAUGCGUAGAUAGUCUGGAGGAACACCGGUGGCGAAGGCGGCAUCCUGGACCGGUAGUUGACGCUGAGGAGCGAAAGCCAGGGGAGCAAAGCGGG
rnacentral:rRNA from 1 species